rnacentral:rRNA from 1 species
UACGAGGGGGGCAAGCGUUGUUCGGAAUUAUUGGGCGUAAAGGGUGCGUAGGCGGCCCUGUAAGUAUGGUGUGAAAUCUCCCGGCUUAACUGGGAGGGUGCGCUAUAGACUGCGGGGCUCGAGUGUGGGAGAGGAAAGUGGAAUUCCUGGUGUAGCGGUGAAAUGCGUAGAUAUCAGGAGGAACACCGGUGGUGUAAACGGCUUUCUGGACCAUAACUGACGCUGAGGCACGAAAGCGUGGGUAGCAAACAGG